rnacentral:lncRNA from 1 species
CCCCUGGAGUGUCACCAGCUCCGCACCGAGGGCUCCUUGUGGCACCCAGAGGAAAUUUGGGGGGCUCCGAGUGGCAGCGGGACCGGCGCAGCCCUCGCGAGGGUCCCGAGUGCCACCACGUCCUCGUGUCACCAAGAGGAACGGGGUGGGGGGCUUCGAGCAAGAGCCCCUCGGGUGCCACCAGCUCCUCGGGUGCCACCAGCUCCUGGAGUGCCACCAUCUCCUCGGGUGCCACCAGCUCCUGGAGUGCCACCAUCUCCUCGAGUGCCACCAGCUCCUUGAGUGAGUGCCACCAUCUCCUUGAGUGCCACCAUCUCCUUGAGCGAGGGCCACCAGCUCCUUGAGCGAGUGCCACCAGCUCCUGGAGUGCCACCAUCUCCUUGAGUGCCACCAUCUCCUUGAGUGAGUGCCACCAGCUCCUGGAGUGCCACCAUCUCCUUGAGCGAGUGCCACCAUCUCCUCGGGUGCCACCAGCUCCUUGAGUGCCACCGUCUCCUUGAGCGAGGGCCACCACCUCCUUGAGCGAGGGCCACCACCUCCUUGAGCGAGUGCCACCACCUCCUUGAGCGAGUGCCACCAUCUCCUUGAGUGAGUGCCACCAUCUCCUCGGGUGCCACCAUCUCCUUGAGUGCCACCAGCUCCUGGAGUGAGUGCCACCAGCUCCUGGAGUGCCACCAGCUCCUUGAGCGAGUGCCACCAUCUUGGGUGCCACCAUCUCCUUGAGUGAGUGCCACCAUCUCCUCGGGUGCCACCAUCUCCUUGAGCGAGUGCCACCAUCUCGGGUGCCACCAGCUCCUCGAGUGAGUGCCACCAUCUCCUUGAGUGUCACCAGCUCCUGGAGUGCCACCAUCUCCUCGGGUGCCACCAUCUCCUGGAGUGCCACCAUCUCCUGGAGUGCCACCAUCUCCUCGGGUGUCACCAUCUCCUUGAGUGCCACCAGCUCCUGGAGUGCCACCAGCUCCUGGAGUGAGUGCCACCAUCUCCUCGAGUGCCACCAUCUCCUGGAGUGCCACCAUCUCCUCGGGGGCCACCAUCUCCUGGAGUGCCACCAGCUCCUGGAGUGCCACCAAGAGCCCCCCGAGUGUCACCAGGACCGGCUCAGCCCCCCUGUGCGGGUCCCUGGUGUCACCGGGGUCUCUCUCUGUGUCACACGCCGCCCUCGGGCGUCCACCGGGACCCCCCCCGAGCACCGGGACCCCCAAAUUCCACCGUCCUCGUGCACCGGGACCCCCCCUCAGGCAUCAGGACCCCCGAGUUUCCUCGCCCCCCUCCUCGGGCACC